CCACUAACAUCGGAAGAGACGGUCGAGCGGGUUCAAAACUCUUGUGAAUCCCCAAGAUGUUCAUAAGAAGAACAAGUCUGGAAAACAAGAUUCCUCCAACGACAGUUUGGAGCGUCCUGUCAAGACGCUUGCUAAUGAAACCCUACAAGCUGCAGCUCGUUCAGGCCAUAACGACAGAUGACAAGCGAAAGCACAAACAAUUCUAUGUUGAUAUGCAAGAGAAACUUGAAGAAGAUCAGUUCAUGAAACCUUUU